CUUAGCAAUGACACAGCUCGGCCCCGGGGCCUCAUUGCUGAUAACGGGAACCGUGGCAACACAAAGCAUCCUGCAGUUUGUCGCUUAGAAUCCGUGGGUUCACAUGUGAGUGACUUCAGGACCGAUCUCUGCUUCACACAGAUGGUCCUUUCUAAUUACACGAUCCACUUUGUCUAAACUCCACGCUCAUAAUCUAGGACUGGUCAGUCUCGACUUCGACGAGGACCCGGUCCCGUCGCCACCGUCUUCAACACAUUCAAAGAGGUCACCUUGGGGACCGCGGACAACACAACCUCAGGAGGAGAUACGAGCUUUCGCCAGAUGGAGCCGAUGGAGUGAUCACAUUUCAUCACGAGCUGCUUUAAUCAUUUCAAAAGUUAAAUGUAUGUCAAAGCUCAGAAACAGACGUUAAAGGUAACCAAUAGCAACUCAAGCAAAACAUAAGUUUGAACCUGAACCCUGUAAAAAAUUAUCCAGGAGCUCAGUUUAAAGAAUCACUUCCUGCUGCUCUGAUUUCACAUUAAGAGCUUGAAUCGCAGCUCCAACGUUUAAUGCAACUACGAUUUGAUAUCAUCCACCCAGUGUGCUGUCAAUCAAAUAAAUGCCAAAGAACGUUUCCG
ensembl:lncRNA